rnacentral:lncRNA from 1 species
GAAAGUCAGUUGGAGCCUGGCCAAGAGAUGAACUGAGAGACUUCCUUGACUUCUGACCAAGGGGGAGACUUCCCUGGUUUCUAACCAAGGGAGUGACUGGCUUUUUUCUGACCUAGGAUGAGACUUUGGUGUGGCUGAUGUUCAUGAUUGAUUGCUAUAUACUGGGCUGGUCUAUUAGCUAUCAGUAGUGAUCAAUAGGCACCCACUGAUACUAUCCCUGGUAGUAGUAUCUCCAUUACAACUAGGCACCCUCAGGUUUCCCCUAGUACCUCUCUAGUCAAGCCAGAGUAUCUCAGUUAUUUCAACCAGAAAUAUCUCCAAGAUUAUCUAUUCUAAUACAUCAAGAAUUCUCUUUCCUUCUGAAAAGAAGGCAAUAUUCAAAAAUCCUUUACACACCUCUGUUUUCUGCCACCUCUACUUCAGAAACAUCCCUGACAACACAGCAGGUAUGGGCAUAUAUAUCCACAAUAGGUAGAAGUUGGAUUCAUUCAUGCUCCAGUAGAAUACUUUUCAUUUCAGAGGGACUUUCAUUCAGAGGGACUAAAGAUCCCCAUAUUAAAAAUAUCUUGUGACAGGGAACUAUGUUUUAUUAUUUUUUUUGGACAGCACUGUCAGAAUGAAUCAUGUUUCAAUUUAAUGAGUUACAAAAUAAUUAAGAGGUAUGUGUUAAUAUGGUAGUUUGGGACAACAGCAGAACUGACUGUGCUACAUAGCUCAUAAUUAUGCCACCAUAACCACUGACACAAGUAAAGGAUGUUAUUGACAUUAUUGAAUUAGUACACUUAAGAAAGAUGGGUUGUAGCUUCUGUCAGAACCAUUAGUUUGGUUAUAACUGUUAUGGGAAGAUAUGGCUUUAAGCAAAGUAAGAUUAAGACCCUGAUAAACUUCUGAAGCUUAGAAAGUGAAUGGCAAUGUUUUCUGACUCUAUUUUGAGUUUUUUACUUUAGUAGGCAAAGAUUUAUCUGCUUUUACAUGGCAGCCUAUGUCUUUUCCUGGGCUGUUAUGAUGUGAGUCUGUCUUUGGUACUUUUCCUG